AACGAACGCUGGCGGCAUGCCUAACACAUGCAAGUCGAACGAUGCCUCCGGGCAUAGUGGCGCACGGGUGCGUAACGCGUGGGAAUCUGCCCUUGGGUUCGGAAUAACUCGCCGAAAGGCGAGCUAAUACCGGAUGAUGACGUAAGUCCAAAGAUUUAUCGCCCAAGGAUGAGCCCGCGUAGGAUUAGCUAGUUGGUGGGGUAAAGGCCCACCAAGGCGACGAUCCUUAGCUGGUCUGAGAGUAUGAUCAGCCACACUGGGACUGAGACACGGCCCAGACUUCUACGGGAGGCAGCAGUGGGGAAUAUUGGACAAUGGGCGAAAGCCUGAUCCAGCAAUGCCGCGUGAGUGAUGAAGGCCUUAGGGUUGUAAAGCUCUUUUACCCGGGAUGAUAAUGACAGUACCGGGAGAAUAAGCUCCGGCUAACUCCGUG
rnacentral:rRNA from 1 species